rnacentral:rRNA from 1 species
GACGAACGCUGGCGGCGUGCUUAACACAUGCAAGUCGAACGGAAAGGCCCUGCUUUUGUGGGGUGCUCGAGUGGCGAACGGGUGAGUAACACGUGAGUAACCUGCCCUUGACUUUGGGAUAACUUCAGGAAACUGGGGCUAAUACCGGAUAGGAGCUCCUGCUGCAUGGUGGGGGUUGGAAAGUUUCGGCGGUUGGGGAUGGACUCGCGGCUUAUCAGCUUGUUGGUGGGGUAGUGGCUUACCAAGGCUUUGACGGGUAGCCGGCCUGAGAGGGUGACCGGCCACAUUGGGACUGAGAUACGGCCCAGACUCCUACGGGAGGCAGCAGUGGGGAAUAUUGCACAAUGGGCGGAAGCCUGAUGCAGCAACGCCGCGUGCGGGAUGACGGCCUUCGGGUUGUAAACCGCUUUCGCCUGUGACGAAGCGUGAGUGACGGUAAUGGGUAAAGAAGCACCGGCUAACUACGUGCCAGCAGCCGCGGUGAUACGUAGGGUGCGAGCGUUGUCCGGAUUUAUUGGGCGUAAAGGGCUCGUAGGUGGUUGAUCGCGUCGGAAGUGUAAUCUUGGGGCUUAACCCUGAGCGUGCUUUCGAUACGGGUUGACUUGAGGAAGGUAGGGGAGAAUGGAAUUCCUGGUGGAGCGGUGGAAUGCGCAGAUAUCAGGAGGAACACCAGUGGCGAAGGCGGUUCUCUGGGCCUUUCCUGACGCUGAGGAGCGAAAGCGUGGGGAGCGAACAGGCUUAGAUACCCUGGUAGUCCACGCUGUAAACGGUGGGUACUAGGUGUGGGGUCCAUUCCACGGGUUCCGUGCCGUAGCUAACGCUUUAAGUACCCCGCCUGGGGAGUACGGCCGCAAGGCUAAAACUCAAAGGAAUUGACGGGGCCCCGCACAAGCGGCGGAGCAUGCGGAUUAAUUCGAUGCAACGCGUAGAACCUUACCUGGGUUUGACAUGGAUCGGGAGUGCUCAGAGAUGGGUGUGCCUCUUUUGGGGUCGGUUCACAGGUGGUGCAUGGCUGUCGUCAGCUCGUGUCGUGAGAUGUUGGGUUAAGUCCCGCAACGAGCGCAACCCUUGUUCACUGUUGCCAGCACGUUAUGGUGGGGACUCAGUGGAGACCGCCGGGGUCAACUCGGAGGAAGGUGGGGAUGACGUCAAGUCAUCAUGCCCCUUAUGUCCAGGGCUUCACGCAUGCUACAAUGGCUGGUACAGAGAGUGGCGAGCCUGUGAGGGUGAGCGAAUCUCGGAAAGCCGGUCUCAGUUCGGAUUGGGGUCUGCAACUCGACCUCAUGAAGUCGGAGUCGCUAGUAAUCGCAGAUCGGCAACGCCGCGGUGAAUACGUUCCCGGG